GAUGAACGCUGGCGGCGUGCCUAAUACAUGCAAGUCGAGCGAACAGAUGAGGAGCUUGCUCCUCUGACGUUAGCGGCGGACGGGUGAGUAACACGUGGAUAACCUACCUAUAAGACUGGGAUAACUUCGGGAAACCGGAGCUAAUACCGGAUAAUAUAUUGAACCGCAUGGUUCAAUAGUGAAAGACGGUUUUGCUGUCACUUAUAGAUGGAUCCGCGCCGCAUUAGCUAGUUGGUAAGGUAACGGCUUACCAAGGCAACGAUGCGUAGCCGACCUAAGAGGGUGAUCGGCCACACUGGAACUGAGACACGGUCCAGACUCCUACGGGAGGCAGCAGUAGGGAAUCUGCCGCAAUGGGCGAAAGCCUGACGGAGCAACGCCGCGUGAGUGAUGAAGGUCUGCGGAUCGUAAAACUCUGUUAUUAGGGAAGAACAAAUGUGUAAGUAACGAUGCACGUCUUGACGGUACCUAAUCAGAAAGCCACGGCUAACUACGU
rnacentral:rRNA from 1 species